rnacentral:rRNA from 1 species
AGAUGCGGAAGUGCCUUCGGGAACUGUGAGACAGGUGCWGCAUGGCUGUCGUCAGCUCGUGUUGUGAAAUGUUGGGUUAAGUCCCGCAACGAGCGCAACCCUUAUCCUUUGUUGCCAGCGGUCCGGCCGGGAACUCAAAGGAGACUGCCAGUGAUAAACUGGRGGARGGKGGGGAUGACGUCAAGUCAUCAUGGCCCUUACGACCAGGGCUACACACGUGCUACAAUGGCGCAWACAAAGAGAASCGACCCCGCGAGGGCAAGCGGACCUCAUAAAGUGCGUCGUAGUCCGGAUUGGAGUCUGCAACUCGACUCCAUGAAGUCGGAAUCGCUAGUAAUCGUGGAUCAGAAUGCCACGGUGA